rnacentral:rRNA from 1 species
CACCGCCCGUCACGCCAUGGGAGUUGGUUUCACCCGAAGGUGGUGCGCUAACCUAGCAAUAGGAGGCAGCCAACCACGGUGGGAUCAGCGACUGGGGUG